CUCCCGAUAGUUAAGACUUACUUCGAACCUUACAGUGCCAGGCCUUCACAGAUGUUAAAUUUUCAUUUGACUUUCAUUUUAAAAUAAGAGAAUUAAGAUUGUAGGUAAAUUGAAAGAAGAAGUGGAGAGUUAUCCGGACUGAGCGCAGGAACCGGAAGUAGAAUCUCAAACGACAGAAGAGAAGGAAAUGUGAACGUCGAUGCGGGGGAGACGAGAUUGCUCUGAAAAAGACUGCAGGGUGAGAGGGGGAAGAAAGAGUUCAGUCUUCUGCAAGGCUGGCUUCCUCCAGCCUAACCAUGCUAUGCACUCGUGCUUCAAAAAGCCUUCAAACAUUAAUUAACGUUUUCUGAAAAGCACCCAACCAUUCGGCUCUGAUAGCAGCGAGAUUGAAAAGCACGGAGUUCUGCAGAGGUUUGGCAGUGUGGCGAAGGAUCCAGACACAAAACCUGGGAGCUGUGUGCGCCUGCUGCACUUGCCUUACUGAGAUGCUAUCAGCUGUAGAUCCAAUCCCCAUCAAUCAAAUGCACAGCAGAUGAAAAUCUUUUUUACCCUUCUGCCUUCUCUACUGAAGACAAUAUUUGCCUCUCAUGGAGCUGAAUUUUUUCAUCAAUGAAUUCGACUUGCAUUGGCCUUGUUCAGAGGACCUGAGUUCAUUUUCCAGAACUCAGGCCAGGUACCAGACAACUCCAGUGUUAGCCUCCACCAGUCUUUGUCACAUGAAUGCAUACACACAAGAAAACAUUCACACACAUAAAAUAAAAAUAAAUUUGAAACAA
rnacentral:sRNA from 1 species